rnacentral:lncRNA from 1 species
GUAAACAAAAUAUAUUUUGUGACUAAGAAUUCCAAAGUACAACCAAAACAACGUCCUUAGUAUCUUAAGUUUAAGACAGCACUUUCCGUUGAAACACAACUACCCCAAUGGCAUAGUCUUGUGAUGUGGGACAGCUAACGUGAUGGACGUCUGCGCAGCAGGCCCGAGGUUAGGACGGCCACUCUGUUAGUGCAGGUGAGUGUAGGUGCCUCCUCAGCUACACUAUCUGGAGGAUGUCACCUGAGUGCAACUGGGCAGGCCCUUCCCCAACACAUGAUGUAAGUCAGCCACGCCAAAAAUAAAGGCAACCCAGAAAGUUAAAUUACGGCAGUUAAAGAAAAAUCCAUUCCAACAGUUUUAAAUUUGGCUGUGCAAAACAGGAGCCUUAGGCUACGUAACAAUAUCCACAGUUAAAACUGUAGGUUCGUACUGUGUGUAGUCACUCUGAAAUCAGUCCUCAGGGAUUGAGCAGGCUUUUAAAUCCAAAUUGAAUUUCUGAGUUGGAAAAAGCAGUUUGGGUACUGUGAAGCUUUUUUUUUUUAGGCCCCCGCUAUGAGUAGCUUUCAUUUUCGUUCCACUUUGUGAUCCACUGUUUU